rnacentral:rRNA from 1 species
UCGAGAAUUUUUCUCAAUGGGGGAAACCCUGAAGGAGCGACGCCGCGUGGGGGAUGAAUGGCUUCGGCCCGUAAACCCCUGUCAUUUGCGAUCAAACCUUACGACCUAACACGUCGUAAGCUGAUAGUAGCGGAAGAGGAAGGGACGGCUAACUCUGUGCCAGCAGCCGCGGUAAUACAGAGGUCCCAAGCGUUGUUCGGAUUCACUGGGCGUAAAGGGUGCGUAGGCGGUCGGGUAAGUCUGACGUGAAAUCUUCGAGCCUAACUCGGAAACUGCGUCGGAUACUAUUCGGCUAGAGGAAUGGAGGGGAGACUGGAAUACUUGGUGUAGCAGUGAAAUGCGUAGAUAUCAAGUGGAACACCAGUGGCGAAGGCGACUGACUGGACAAGUAUUGACGCUGAGGUACGAAAGCGUGGGGAGCAAACAGGAUUAGAUACCCCAGUAGUCCCUGAGCGGGCUGGCAAGGCGCAU